UAACCCUCUGCUAUGUGGUUUGGAUGCUGACUGAGCAACAGAAUUGUCUCUGUAGAUAGCUAUGUUUUUGGAUUGUUGCUGCUGAAGGGACAGAAUUGCACAUUUCUGGAAAGGGCUUGAGGUCCACAAUGGCCAAUCAGACUGUGGUGACUGAGUUCUUCCUCCAAGGCCUGACGGAUACCAAAGAGCUUCAGGUGGCUGUUUUUCUGCUCCUGCUGCUUGCCUACCUUGUGACUGUCUCUGGGAACCUGAUCAUCAUCAGCCUGACCUUGCUGGACACCCGCCUGCAGACAUCUAUGUACUUAUUUCUCCAGAAUCUGUCCUGCUUAGAAAUUUGGUUCCAGACAGUCAUCGUGCCCAAGAUGCUGCUCAACAUUGCCAUGGGGACCAAGACCGUUAGCUUUGCUGGGUGCAUUACCCAGGACUUUUUCCACAUCUUCUGGGGGCCACAGAGUUCUUCCUCCUCACAGCCAUGGCCUAUGACCAGUAUAUUGCCAUCUGCAAGCCCCUCCACUACCCCAUGCUCAUAAGUAGUAGAGUCUGCACACAGCUCAUCCUCACCUGCUGGCUACUAGGUUUCUCCUUCAUCAUCAUGCCUGUCAUCCUGACCAGUCAGCUUCCAUUCUGUGAUACCCACAUCAAGCAUUUCUUCUGUGACUACACGCCUCUAAUGGAGGUGGUCUGCAGUGGGCCAAAGGUGCUGGAGAUGGUGGAUUUUACCCUGGCCUUAGUAGCACUGUUUGGCACCUUGGUACUCAUCACCCUGUCCUAUGUCCAGAUCAUCCAGACAAUUGUCAGAAUCCCCGCUGUCCAGGAGAGGAAGAAGGCUUUCUCUACCUGUUCCUCUCAUGUCAUUAUGGUUACCAUGUGUUAUGACAGCUGCUUCUUUAUGUAUGUCAAGCCCUCUCCAGGAAAGUGGGUUGAUGUCAACAAGGGAGUGUCUCUAAUCAAUACAAUUAUUGCCCCACUGUUAAAUCCCUUCAUCUGUACUCUGAGGAACCAACAAGUUAAGCAGGUAAUGAAAGACCUAGUCAGAAAAAUGACUUUGUUCCAAAAUAAAUAAGGGCCCUAAAAGUCAUCUUCUGGGGAAAAAAUGGGUGCCUUCUCCAGAGUAAGUCCACAUGACAUCAGGCCAAGAGGCAGGAGUCAGGGGCUUAGGCCCCCAUUGCACCCCCAGCAAGGUGCAGGUUUCCCCACAGGCCAUAAGGAAAAUGUCCUGAUAUCAUAUGAAGAGUCUUAUUACCUAGCCUCAGUCUUAGGUUUGCACCUUCUUUUAUCACUCUGUCAGCCAAAGAAAUGAGAAAUAGCUAGCCUAUGUCCCCAGGUGCCCUCAACUAGACUCCAGUAACAGCUGACAUUCGUCAGCAUGCCAGUUUCAUUUUUAACACCUAUAAUGUUUGUAGAACACUUCAUAGUUUCAAAAGCAUUUUCUCAACACUAACCUCACUCAAUCUUCACAAUAACCCUGCGAAACAGAUGGAAAAAUUAUUAUUUACAUUUUACAUAAGAUGUUGAUAUACUCAAACAGUUUAAGUGUAUUGCCAAAGAUCACACAGGAGACCAGGGUUCAAACCCACAACUUCUGGAUCUAAACGCAAUACCACAUUUCCUACAGAUGUGAGACAUCUGGAUUUAAUAGUCAUCUUUUGCUGCACGCAAAUUAUCCCAAAAUUUAGCAGCUUAAAACAGCAAGCAUUGAUUAUCUUGGUUUCUAUGGGUUAGUAAUUUGGGUUCAGCUUAACUCAGAGCAGCUCAAUAGGGCUGUUGUCUCAUCUAAAGACUCUACUGGGGGUGGGGCAUGGUGGUUCAUGCCUAUAAUUCCAGCACUUUGGGAGGCUGAGGUGGGUGGAUCACCUCAGAUCAGGAGUUUGAGACCAGCCUGGCCAACAUGGGAAAACCUCAUCUCUACUAAAAAUACAAAACUUAGCCAGUCAUGGUGGCAUACACAUGUAGUCCCAUCUACUCAGCAGGCUGAGGCAAGAGAAUUGCUUGAAACUGGAAGGUGAAGGUUGCAGUGAGCCAAGAUCAUGCCACUGCAUUCCAGCCUGGGUGACAGAGUGAGACUCCAUCUCAAAAAAAAAAAAAGACUCAACUAGGGAAGGAUUAACUUCUGAGCUGCUCACUCCAGUUGCUGUUAGCAGGCUCUAGUUCCUCAGUGAUUGUUGCCAUGUGGGCACUCUAUAAGAAAGCUCAUAACAUGGCAGCUGGCCUUCUUUAGAGCAAACAAACGAAAGAAUGGCCAAAACAAAAGUGUUUUAUAACCUAAUGUUAAAAGUGACAUCACAUCAUUUUUAUCAUAUGCUAUUUGUUAGAAGUAAGUCACCUAGUCCAGCCCAUAUUCAAGAAGAGGUGAGCACACAAAGACAUGAAUAUCAGAAGGCAGGGAUGAUUUGGGAAACAUUACAUGCAGCCUAUUACAAUCUACCCUCUGGCACAGUCCACCAAUGAUUCAUGUCCCUCCCACAUGCAAUAUAUAUUCCACCCUUCUCGAAGUCAUCAAAGGUCUCAUCUUGUUAUAGUUUCCAAUCAAAAUCCACAAUCUUAUCAUCUAAACCAGGUCCAGGUGUAGAUGAAGCUCCUUGGGUGUAGUUCCAUAGGUACAUACAGCCCCUAACUACUUUUCUCAAUCUGUGACCUGUGAAACUAAAAAAGACAAGUUAACAUCCCCACACACACCCAACAUACAAUGAUGGGGUAGGCAUAGAAUAACUAUAACUAUUGCCACUCAAAAACAGGAAAAGAAAAGGAAUUACUGGUCCAGAAAAAUUAUGAAAUCCAGCUGAAAAUGAUGGAAACUCCUUAACUCAUUCAAAACUUGGGAGUAAUUCAUUAUUCCUCUUGGGCCCUUGGUCCUGCCCUCUGAGUCAUUUUUUCCUUUUUCAUGAAAAGUAGCACACAAUUGUAGCUGAAUAGUUUUCUCAGCCUUCUUCCUCCCAGUAGAAUUACAGUGACCCAAAUGCCUCUUUCUUAUUUUGUACUGUCUUCUUUUCAAUCCAAGAUGACAGAGUUUCUGGGGAUAUAACUCAUUCGGGAACUUUAUGGAUCUCCAGUGUAUCUUCUUGAUGCUUGCUUCAUUAGAUAAAAACCACAGCUAAGGCCUGAAAGAUCUUUAAAGGUCCUGGUAUCCCUAUUAUUUUAUUGAAAGGACCACUGAAACACAUUCUUAAUUUCUUUAAAAGGUCUUUUGUGCCUGGUACUUAGGCACCACCUUGAUAUUUCUGAGGUCUUAAAGUAUUACAGUCACACUCUUGAUAUCACCUCUGGACUAGUUUUCCUGACAGUGCCCUGUCAGGAAUUAAGAAAUUAAAAUUAAGAAACCAUUUCUUAAUUUUAGCAUCAUUUAUCAUUAGAAGAGAAUUUCAAAAACUAUCAAGUCCUGGAUCCAUCCUGUUUAACAGUGUUUACUUCAACUUUCCUCUCUCCUCUCACUAUAACUGUCAGGAAGAAAUCAAGUGGCACCUUCAACACUUUGCUUAGAAAUUUCCUUAGCUAGAUUACACAGUUCACAUUUUCCACUUUCCACUUAACUGCAGGAGACAGUGUUGCUAAACUUUUGUCGCUACAUAACAAAGGUCCUUCACCAGUUUCCAGUAAGAUUUUCUUCAGUUUCCUGAAAGCCUUCAUCCAUAGCAUCCUCAAAGUCCAAAAUUCUACAGAAAGUAUUUUCAAAGUUAAGCUUUCACCACUAGUCUUCUAAAAUCCUUAAAAGUUUUCCAGCUUCUACCCACUCCCUAGCCCCAAAGCCAUUCCUACAUUUUAGGUAGUUGUUAUGGCAGUACCCCUCUUCAAAAGCUGUAUUUGCUAUCUAUUGCUGCUUAACAAGUUACUUCCAAAAUCUAGUGGCUUAAACAGCAAACAUCUAUUAUCUCACAGUUUCAUUGAUUCAGGAAUCUAAGUGUUGAUUAGCUGAACUACUCUGGCUCAAGAUCUCUCAUGUAGUUGCCAUUAACCUGCCAACCAGGGCUAUGGUCUCAUCUGAAGGCAUGACUGAGGGAGGACCUCCUUCCAAGCUCACAUCUAUGGUUGCUAGCUAAUUUUAAAUCCUCAUCAGCUGUUGUAUUCCCUCAAUUUCUUGUCAUGUAGCCCUCUCCAAAAGAUAAUUUAAAACAUGACCACUGGAUUCCAUCAAGCUGAGUGAAUAAGAAAGUACCCAAGAUAAAAGCCAGUCUUUUUGUAACCUAAUCUAAGAAACAUCAUCCCAUCACUUUUGCCAUAUUUUAUUUGUUAGAAGUAAUUCACUAUAUCAACCCUAUACUCAAAGGGUGGGGAUUACACAAGUGAAUAAACCAAGAGGUAAAGACUAUUGGGGGCCAUCUUAAAGGCUGCCUAUCCUGUGGGCUUAGCCUCUUUAUUUUACAAAUGAGGAAACUGAGGCCAAGAGCUC
ensembl:lncRNA novel transcript